GUGCGCUCGGUCUUCUUUGAGACACAGUGGUGCAGGAGACACUCUGACCGGGGCGUGACGCACCUGUCCUUGCUGCUAAGGAUCAUGGGAAGCCGCGGGAGGCUGUAGGUGGUGUUCGGAGAGAGAGAGAGCGAGAGAGAGAGAGAUCCACUGAUCGAUCAUGAGGAGGUUUUUCCGAGCGGACAGGAACGAGGACCACAGUCAGAUCCAGUAUCUGACGGCCAAGUGCACCCGGCUGGCUCACGACAACGCGAUGCUCGACAGGGAGAUGCUGCUGGCCCGAGGCCGCGAGAGGAAGCUGCACAGCGAGCUGGAGGCCGCGGCCUCUGGACUCCGCCUCCGCGAUCAGAUCAACGCGGAGCUCAGGAUGAGAGAGGAGCAGCUCGUCGGCAGGAUCCACCAGCAGCAGGACCUGGUGCACCGGCUGCAGCAGCGCCUGCUCCUGCUGGCGGAGGCGAGCUCCCGGGACGGCGAGCUGCUGCGGCAGGUCGGCACAGAGCUGCUGUGCCUGCAGAGCUCCGAGGUGGAGCUGGAGGGCCUGGUGGAGGAGCUGCACGCCGAGGCCCAACGCAAGGCCGGGAUGGCAGAGAGCCUCCAGGCGGAGCUGCACGCUGAGGCCCAGCGCCGGGCCGCCCUGACGGAGAGCCUGCAGGCGGAGCAGCGCAGGAAGAGGGGCGAGCUGGAGGAGCUACGAGACACCAACCAAACGCUGACGGACGAGCUGAAGGAUCUACGCUCGGCUCACCAGACGCAGGUGAGGGAGCUGCAGCAGGAGAACGAGGGGAGUCUGAGGAAGCUGCAGGCGACGGCGGAGCAGUUCGAGUGGCUCUGUCAGCAGCAGCGCGGCUGGAUGUGUUGUGUCAAGAGAUUCAAGGACAGCCUGAUGGAGGAGAGGGACGCUCUGCUGCGACAGGUCGUCGCCCUCAACAAGAAGGUCGAGGAGCUGAAGAAGAGUUUGCGCGAAGACGCUCCCACGCAGAGCGUCCUCCGUCCCCCGCAGGACACCAAACGCCGUGACAGCUUAACGUCGUUGGACGCAGACGCUGUGGCUGACCUGGAGUCUCGGGUGGAGAAGUCAAACAUGCUGUACGCGGCGCUCUUUAACCAGGUACCCGUUUCAUUCUUCUGCUUCUCGAUCCUUGUCCCUGCAGCGCUUUUAUUGUGGUCCUAACCCCAAAGAUAGCGACUUUACUAUCACACAUCGCAAAGAAAAAGCAUCCAAACCUCAAAUAUGAGAAGACGGUGAAUCAGGAAACCGGGAACUAGGCGACAUUUCUACGGAAAAUCCAUAAUUUGGUGAACCAAAUAGUUGCCGAUCAAUUUUUUUUCCAUCCAUUAAUCAGACAGUUGUCCUUCUUAAAAAAAGACAACAACUGCAUCCUCUAACUUCUUCCUCUCUUGGUAUUUUACAGCAACCAUUCGACAAACCAUUAUUUUAAGAGCAACAUUUGUGUAUGAUUACGCCUUUGGAUCAAAGACAAGAACUGAUCCGAGGUCUGAAACAGAAGACAACAGAAAGGAAAAGAAACAGAGCUGGUGUGUUCCGGAGCCCUGAAGCUUCUUGGGCACCAGACUCUCGUCAUUCUCCUUUUCAUUAGAAAGGCUGGUUGAAAAGGGGGGCACACGGCGCCCUUUGUCCCCCUUAGAUUUAAAAUACCUUCGACACAUCCUCCAGGAGUGAUGAAAGCUUGCCGGGUACUUCGAUGUCUUUGUAUAAUAAAAAGUACCUGUUGUACAUGUAUUAAUUCACCUUUAAGACUCCUAAGCUGCAGAGUUAUUGGAGCUGCCUUCAAAAGACCAAGUGCCUUUUAAAGUCACCAUGUUCAGUUGUAGUUUUUUAAACCCUGAAUCUGAGACAAGUGCAGAAACACAGACAGUCAUCUGAGGGGGGGGGGGGGCGCCAGCCCCCUGUGGACUUGUAGCAGGGCCAGAACAUUCAUGAAAGCCCCGGUCACGGGCACUGGAGUCCAAUCAGUGAUUCACUUUUUCUGUCUUGUCUGCUCUUUAAAAGUUUCAGAGCUUUGACUUUUGACUGAAA
ensembl:lncRNA